ACAAGCGAUGCCGACAAUGCAAAAUGUCGCUCCGCGCGGAAAAUUACCCGUAGUGAAAAACGGGCUUAACAGUGACAAGCGUGUUGUCUGAGAACCCGCACAGUUAUAGACGUCGACUGUUUGAAUAAGGCAACAAGUUAAAAAACCUUAAAAAUAAUUGUUGGGAUUUGUAGCUACUAGCGAAUAUAAUAAAAAUUUACCUUAUCCUUGGUAACAAAUGUCAUAACAGAGUUCACCGACACGCUAUCUUUAAAGACACUUGCCAGUUAAGUCAGUUAACUGUCUACGACUUAAAACGCACGUACCUGAUACAGCGAAUUUUUACUCAUGAUUUUCAUGAUAUUCCAUCGGGCUCCAUAUAAAAACGAUGGAAUGCUUGCUUUGUGUACAGUUAUUUAUUAAAAAUAAUGCAAUGUUAUAAUUACAACCUCAUAGAUAUUUGCAUGUUGUCCGUACAAGAUACGAGCACAUGGCGAGAUAUGACACCCAACCCCAUGAAACAUAAGCCAAUGAAUAUCAAGAUUUAAAUAUCUAAUUAUAAUGUUACAUAAUAAACUUUAUUGUCUUCUACAACGACAUUUUAAAGGCUAUAUAUAAGCUUAACUUGCGUCGUCCCAAAGAUGCAUGUGUCCAAAAAACCAAAGAAUCAAAAAAUAAAAAGUCUCUAAAAAUAAAAAAAAUUCAAAAAUAAAAAAAAAAAUGUUCCAAAAAUCCUCGUACAAUUUUUGCCGAGUAAGGCUUUUUCUGCAAAAGUGGGUAACAUUUCGUUUGGCCAAUUUCCUGUUGAAUGGUCUUGGUUUUUGUUUUGCUUUAGGUUGCAUAAAUUAGAUCUCAUUUGCCGGGUUUUGAGUGUAUAUAAGAGCAGAUAAUCGCUCACACAUUCAAAUCCCUUCAUAUUAUUACACAUGACAGAGCGAUUUCAAACUCUUUCUCCGUGAAAACAAUACGGCCAAGCAUUAUAAGUCACUAGUUUUAAAUAUGCUGGCAUAGAUCCACUAUUAUGAAAACUGAAUGCACUUGUAUCAGACUAAGCGGACCAGCAGG